rnacentral:rRNA from 1 species
UACGAAGGGGGCUAGCGUUGUUCGGAAUUACUGGGCGUAAAGCGCGCGCAGGCGGCUAUCCAAGUCAGUGGUGAAAGCCCGGAGCUCAACUCCGGAACUGCCAUUGAAACUGUUUAGCUUGAGGACGAGAGAGGUGAGUGGAAUUCCCAGUGUAGAGGUGAAAUUCGUAGAUAUGGGGAGGAACACCGGUGGCGAAGGCGGCCACCUGGACGGCAACUGACGCUGAGACGCGAAAGCGUGGGGAGCAAACAGG